AACAGUCUGACGGAGGCAGAAGCUGAGUAAAGGUACAAAAUGGCGCAGCGCAACCAGCCGUGGGCAGGCGCAAGAGGGGAGAGUGACAACAGGCUGAACAAAGCAAGGAGGGCUUCCUGUCGGAGGAGGCUGACCAGGUGAGGACGAGGCAAUGGGUGCCCCAAGCAGAGGCAGUAGCACAUUCAAAGGUGGUAGAGAGAGAGAGCAAAGUGUGUUCGAGAUUUGGAGGGACAGGCCUGCUUCCUGCAGGGCCUCUGAUUGACACAGAAAUUGCUACCAGCAGUGACCCUGUUAAUCGACCCCGGAAAUGAGACCCAAGGUUGUGGCUCCCAGGGCGUGUCUCCCGGUUGGAGAGGUGGAAAAAGGUCCGAAACCUACCAGAGGUGAUGUGGAGUGAAAUGUGAGGAUUUGGGGCGGAUGUGCUGCCCAAGCACACAGGAGGCUAUGACCGUCCUGCGAGUGGUGAACCAAGCCCUGGGCUCGAAGGUGGCCAAGAGUUCAUGCAGUGGAAAUGCUGGAGACCCACCUUCCACCUCCAAAACAUGGCAACCUCACUACUCAAGGUGGCCCUGGCUUAGCAGCCUCCCACCCCUGGGAUCUCGGCAGACACGCUCCCUCCCAGGCUUCAUGAAGUCAAAUCUGCAUUCUAGAAAGUUCCCAGAUGUCAAGAUUCGGGUCACCCUACCAGGGAGAUAACCACAUCCAGCUGGAAUGACUGCAGAUGAUAACAGGACAUGAAAUGGGAAGGAAGCAAUGACCACCUACUUUUACCUCUUGACCAACAACCAAAGCAGUGUUAACUCAGAAAGAACAAGACAACAAAACUUUACAAACAACUCAGUAGAAAAAAGGAGAAAAAAGAAGAUACACCAGUCGGUGUCACUAUGAAAGGCACCUUCCACAAGAUAGAGGCUCCGACAGCAGGUGUGACACUGGUCAGAGGGGUGUGGAAUAGACCACCUCCCAGAGUUAGUUAUUAGCAUUCCAGCUUCGAUGCCAACUUCACCCUGAUGGAGACGACACCACUUUUACCAUUCAAGUUGCUACAAAAGGUUAUGCAAAAGCAAAUGACAGAAAGUGUCCCCUGUACCUAGGAUGCUGUUUUCUCUUCCUAACAGCCCUGACAUGUAGCCACGGCCGGUUAUGAAGGAGGACUCGGGGGACUGGGGGUGAUGCUAAGAGAAUAUCCGGAGCCCUGUGGUUCUUCAGUGGAGGGUAAGACCUGGACCAGGUGCCCUGAGCCCACCCCUCACCCACCACCCCCCAAGAUGGCACUGCCUAGCUUCUUGGUGAAAACCAGAGGCAUCUCACCAAAGCAGCCUGAUGGCUCAGGUGCCGCUCAUGUACCCAAGAUGUUACCACAUAAAAUAUGAGCCAGCCUGUGCCAUUCAGCAUCUUCUUUACGGUGUCACCAGCAAUGUGAAAAUGAGUGGCUUUGGUUCUGAGCCCCACGUCAGGCUUCCCAACCUGGCGGUCUGGCAAAGGGAGGAGGAAUUCCUAGAGAAUCAGACUUUGAAGACUAGUGGGAUUUGAUUGCAGGACUUCGACAGGACUGGGGGAAACAGAGAGUCCACUCUUGG